rnacentral:rRNA from 1 species
GACGUAGGGUGCGAGCGUUGUCCGGAUUUAUUGGGCGUAAAGAGCUCGUAGGCGGCUCGUCGCGUCGACCGUGAAAACCCGCGGCUUAACUGCGGGCUUGCGGUUGAUACGGGCGGGCUAGAGUUCGGUAGGGGAGACUGGAAUUCCUGGUGUAGCGGUGAAAUGCGCAGAUAUCAGGAAGAACACCUAUGGCGAAGGCAGCACUCUGGGACGGUACUGACGCUGAGACGCGAAAGCGUGGGGAGCGAACAGG